rnacentral:rRNA from 1 species
UACGUAGGGGGCAAGCGUUGUCCGGAUUCAUUGGGCGUAAAGAGCGUGUAGGCGGCCAGGUAGGUCGGUUGUGAAAACUGGAGGCUCAACCUUCAGAGGUCGACCGAAACCAUCUGGCUAGAGUCCGGGAGAGGAGAGUGGAAUUCCUGGUGUAGCGGUGAAAUGCGUAGAUAUGUGGAGGAACACCGAUGGCGAAGGCAGCCCCCUGGGCUAACACUGACGCUCAUGCACGAAAGCGUGGGGAGCAAACAGG